GAUCUGGUUCCUGUAGCCCGGGAUAGAGAGGACCGGCCAGCAGGCCUGGUCACGUGUGGUGCGAGGACGGGAUGGCUGGGACCCUGGGCUCACCUCUGCACCUGUCUGCCGGUACGGCCACAGGCUGCGACAUUUCCGUGAAAGGAGAGUAAGGGCUGGGGC
rnacentral:antisense_RNA from 1 species